AACGAACGCUGGCGGCAGGCCUAACACAUGCAAGUCGAGCGCCCCUUCGGGGGAGCGGCGGACGGGUUAGUAACGCGUGGGAACGUACCCAGAUCUACGGAAUAGCCUUUGGAAACGAAGAGUAAUACCGUAUACGCCCUUCGGGGGAAAGAUUUAUCGGAUUUGGAUCGGCCCGCGUUAGAUUAGUUAGUUGGUGGGGUAACGGCCUACCAGGACGACGAUCUAUAGCUGGUUUGAGAGGAUGAUCAGCAACACUGGGACUGAGACACGGCCCAGACUCCUACGGGAGGCAGCAGUGGGGAAUCUUAGACAAUGGGCGCAAGCCUGAUCUAGCCAUGCCGCGUGAGUGACGAAGGUCUUAGGAUCGUAAAGCUCUUUCGCCAGGGAUGAUAAUGACAGUACCUGGUAAAGAAGCCCCGGCUAAUUUCG
rnacentral:rRNA from 1 species